UACGUAGGGGGCAAGCGUUGUCCGGAAUCAUUGGGCGUAAAGCGAGCGUAGGCGGCCCGAUAAGUCUGCUGUGAAAGUCAACGGCUCAACCGUUGAAAGCCGGUGGAUACUGUCGGGCUAGAGUUCGGAAGAGGCAAGUGGAAUUCCUGGUGUAGCGGUGGAAUGCGCAGAUAUUGGAAAGACCACCGAUGGCGAAGGCACUCUACUGGGCCAUUACUGACACUGAGAGACGAAAGCUAGGGGAGCAAAUGGG
rnacentral:rRNA from 1 species